UACGUAGGCAGCAAGCGUUGUUCGGAAUUACUGGGCGUAAAGAGUGUGUAGGCGGUGUUCUAAGUCUGUUGUGAAAUCUCCGGGCUCAACCCGGAAACUGCCAUUGAUACUAUUUGUCUUGAAUAUCGAUGAGGCGGGCAGAAUAUGUCAUGUAGCGGUGAAAUGCAUAGAUAUGACAUAGAAUACCGAUUGCGAAGGCAGCUCGCUAACCGAUCAUUGACGCUGAGGCACGAAAGCGUGGGGAUCAAACAGG
rnacentral:rRNA from 1 species